CCCUUAGAUGUCCUGGGCCGCACGCGCGCUACACUGAGUGUCUGAGAUACGAGUCUGCCUGGUCCGGCAAGGUCUAGGUAAUCGCUAAAAGACACAUCAUGCUUGGGAUAGAUUAUUGCAAAUAUUAAUCUUGAACGAGGAAUUCCUAGUAAGCGCAAGUCAACAGCUUGCGUUGAUUACGUCCCUGCCCUUUGUACACACCGCCCGUCGCUACUACUGAUUGGAUGUUUAAGCGAGGUUCUCGAACUGCUAGCGACUUAGCUUCGGUGAGGUCGCAGUGUGGGAAGUGAACCUAGCUUUGGUGUCUAGAGGAAGUAAAGUCGUAACA
rnacentral:rRNA from 1 species